CAACUUUCAGCAGUGGAUGUCUAGGCUCGCACAUCGAUGAAGAACGCUGCGAACUGCGAUACGUAAUGCGAAUUGCAGGAUUCAGUGAGUCAUCGAAAUUUUGAACGCAUAUUGCACUUCCGGGUUAGUCCUGGGAGUAUGCCUGUAUCAGUGUCCGUACAUCAAACUUGGCUUUCUUCCUUCCGUG
rnacentral:rRNA from 1 species